AGAGUUUGAUCAUGGCUCAGAUUGAACGCUGGCGGCAGGCCUAACACAUGCAAGUCGAACGGUAACAGGAAACAGCUUGCUGUUUCGCUGACGAGUGGCGGACGGGUGAGUAAUGUCUGGGAAACUGCCUGAUGGAGGGGGAUAACUACUGGAAACGGUAGCUAAUACCGCAUAACGUCGCAAGACCAAAGAGGGGGACCUUCGGGCCUCUUGCCAUCAGAUGUGCCCAGAUGGGAUUAGCUAGUAGGUGGGGUAACGGCUCACCUAGGCGACGAUCCCUAGCUGGUCUGAGAGGAUGACCAGCCACACUGGAACUGAGACACGGUCCAGACUCCUACGGGAGGCAGCAGUGGGGAAUAUUGCACAAUGGGCGCAAGCCUGAUGCAGCCAUGCCGCGUGUAUGAAGAAGGCCUUCGGGUUGUAAAGUACUUUCAGCGGGGAGGAAGGGAGUAAAGUUAAUACCUUUGCUCAUUGACGUUACCCGCAGAGGAAGCACCGGCUAACUCCGUGCCAGCAGCCGCGGUAAUACGGAGGGUGCAAGCGUUAAUCGGGAUUACUGGGCGUAAAGCGCACGCAGGCGGUUUGUUAAGUCAGAUGUGAAAUCCCCGGGCUCAACCUGGGAACUGCAUCUGAUACUGGCAAGCUUGAGUCUCGUAGAGGGGGGUAGAAUUCCAGGUGUAGCGGUGAAAUGCGUAGAGAUCUGGAGGAAUACCGGUGGCGAAGGCGGCCCCCUGGACGAAGACUGACGCUCAGGUGCGAAAGCGUGGGGAGCAAACAGGAUUAGAUACCCUGGUAGUCCACGCCGUAAACGAUGUCGACUUGGAGGUUGUGCCCUUGAGGCGUGGCUUCCGGAGCUAACGCGUUAAGUCGACCGCCUGGGGAGUACGGCCGCAAGGUUAAAACUCAAAUGAAUUGACGGGGGCCCGCACAAGCGGUGGAGCAUGUGGUUUAAUUCGAUGCAACGCGAAGAACCUUACCUGGUCUUGACAUCCACGGAAGUUUUCAGAGAUGAGAAUGUGCCUUCGGGAACCGUGAGACAGGUGCUGCAUGGCUGUCGUCAGCUCGUGUUGUGAAAUGUUGGGUUAAGUCCCGCAACGAGCGCAACCCUUAUCCUUUGUUGCCAGCGGUCCGGCCGGGAACUCAAAGGAGACUGCCAGUGAUAAACUGGAGGAAGGUGGGGAUGACGUCAAGUCAUCAUGGCCCUUACGACCAGGGCUACACACGUGCUACAAUGGCGCAUACAAAGAGAAGCGACCUCGCGAGAGCAAGCGGACCUCAUAAAGUGCGUCGUAGUCCGGAUUGGAGUCUGCAACUCGACUCCAUGAAGUCGGAAUCGCUAGUAAUCGUGGAUCAGAAUGCCACGGUGAAUACGUUCCCGGGCCUUGUACACACCGCCCGUCACACCAUGGGAGUGGGUUGCAAAAGAAGUAGGUAGCUUAACCUUCGGGAGGGCGCUUACCACUUUGUGAUUCAUGACUGGGGUGAAGUCGUAACAAGGUAACCGUAGGGGAACCUGCGGUUG
rnacentral:rRNA from 1 species